AACGAACGCUGGCGGCAUGCCUAACACAUGCAAGUCGAACGAGACCUUCGUGUCUAGUGGCGCAAGGGUGCGUACCGCGUGGGAACUUGCACUUAGGUUAGGAAUCACUCCCUGAGAGGGGUGCUAAUCAAAGUUAAUCUCAUCGGGCCAAAGAUGUAUCGCUUUUGGAUGGGGCCGCGUUGGAUUAGCGAGUUGGUAGUGUAAAAGCCUACCAAGGCGUCGUUGCAUAGCUGGUCUGAGAGGAUGAUCAUCCAGACUGGGAAUGAGACCCGGCCCAGACUGCUACGGGGGACAGCAGUGGGUUAUAUUAGGCGAUGGAGCAAGACCUGAUCAAGCCAUGUGGGGUGAGUCAUGAAUCCCUUUGGGUUGUAAUGCCCUGUUUCCCGGAGUGUGAAUGACAGUACCGGGAGAAUAAGCUCCGGCUAACUCCGUG
rnacentral:rRNA from 1 species